rnacentral:lncRNA from 1 species
AGAAUGAAGGAAUCGUGUUGCGCUCCCCUCAGUCCCUGAGACCCUAACUUGUGAUGUUUACCGUUUAAAUCCACGGGUUAGGCUCUUGGGAGCUGCGGGUCGUGCCUUUGCAUCGCUGAAGGAACUUUUUAGAGAGAGAGAGAGAGAGAGAGAGAGAGAGAGAGAAAAGUUUGUCAGAAGUGAUGGUAAUACACCCUUGAGGCUUCCAUUGUUAGAUGGGAUCAGGUGACCCGAGUGGCAGCUCCUGGCUUCUGUAAAAGUAGGCAUAGUAUGUUAGCAUCCUGUGUUGGCUGCUAUG